ensembl:misc_RNA 7SK 7SK RNA
GGAUGUGAGGGCGAUCUGGCUGCAACAUCUGUCACCCCAUUGAUCACCAGGGUUGAUUCGGCUGAUCUGGCUGCCUAGGCAGGUGUCCCCUUCCUCCCUCACCACUCCAUGUGCGUCCCUCCCAAAGCUGCGUGCUUGGAGCAAGAAGACGGGCUUUCCCGAAUAGAGACGGACCAGUCUUUUGUUGAGAGUAUACAAGUAGCUGCACUCUCCUGCUAGAACCUCCAAACAAGCUCUCAAGUAUAGGAAAGUUAUCAGGGGAGGGGAUGGGAUACGAAGUUCUGGUGGUGGGAAUUGUGUGGAAUUGUGUCCCUCUUAUC